GCCCGGAUAGCUCAGUCGGUAGAGCA
rnacentral:piRNA from 14 species